rnacentral:misc_RNA from 1 species
ACACCACUCAAGCCUGGCUUGGUAUUGGGUGCCGCGGGCCUCCCGCGCGCCUCAAAGUCCUUCCGGCUGGGCGGCUCCGUCUCUAAGCGUUGUGGCAACUAUUCGCGGCGAGAGGGGGCGGCGCGGCCGUUAAAC